rnacentral:lncRNA from 1 species
GGGCAGGGACCAGCUGGAGGGUACUGUCCCCCAGAAGCCAACCGGACAGUAUAGCAGGGCAGGGAGCGGCAGGGUACACGUUCACCAAGCCAGGAGGCUGGGCUGCAGCAUCAAGGACAGGCACCAGCUUCCGAAGUACUGAAGGAAUGAAUGCACGAAGGAAAGAAUGAACGAACGAAGGAGCUGGCUGAGCAGAUGGACAAAAGGUGGUAUACA